UGGGGAAUAUUGCACAAUGGGCGGAAGCCUGAUGCAGCAACGCCGCGUGCGGGAUGACGGCCUUCGGGUUGUAAACCGCUUUCGCCUGUGACGAAGCGUGAGUGACGGUAAUGGGUAAAGAAGCACCGGCUAACUACGUGCCAGCAGCCGCGGUGAUACGUAGGGUGCGAGCGUUGUCCGGAUUUAUUGGGCGUAAAGGGCUCGUAGGUGGUUGAUCGCGUCGGAAGUGUAAUCUUGGGGCUUAACCCUGAGCGUGCUUUCGAUACGGGUUGACUUGAGGAAGGUAGGGGAGAAUGGAAUUCCUGGUGGAGCGGUGGAAUGCGCAGAUAUCAGGAGGAACACCAGUGGCGAAGGCGGUUCUCUGGGCCUUUCCUGACGCUGAGGAGCGAAAGCGUGGGGAGCGAACAGGCUUAGAUACCCUGGUAGUCCACGCUGUAAACGGUGGGUACUAAGUGUGGGGUCCAUUCCACGGGUUCCGUGCCGUAGCUAACGCUUUAAGUACCCCGCCUGGGGAGUACGGCCGCAAGGCUA
rnacentral:rRNA from 1 species